rnacentral:tRNA from 1 species
GUGGCCUAGUCAGUAACGCAUAUGGCUCGCAACCAAAUGGUCGUGGGUUCGAACCCCGCC